rnacentral:rRNA from 1 species
GGGUGUCAUGUACAGCUCCAGGUCGGGUCGGGUCGGGUCGUGUGCCCUGCGUGGUGGUUAGGUUUUGGUAAAGGGGAAAGCGGACCAAGGACGGGAGGGGUGCGGCGUGGCGGCGGAGGCGGGUGGCUGCGGCAGGGCGAGCAAGAGGAGGCGGCCUUGGGUGGCCUCGUGCGCAGCUUCGCCUCGUUUAGAGACGUGCAGAGGAUUUCCUAGACCUAGCCGAGGACGAUGAGGAGGAGGGAGACAGCGUCGCGGCUCAACGGCCUCGUCUACCACCCUAAACCAUCGGAACGCGGGUUCUGGUUCUUGGACCACCACCCGCCACCCGACUGUCCCAAGCAGAAACCCCACAUGAUGAUGUGGUACUCUCGCCAACCGUCGUGACUACUCGACGUCCAGCGGUAGCUGUUCAAACUUCUGGACUUCUUCUUCCUGCGGCGUCGGUGGGGGCGGCGUUUGGGGAGGUGGGGUCCGAGUAGCAUCCUUUUUUGUACGAGAAUUUGAAAACAAAGGGACAUGGCUCGAAGAUUUGAUCAAUGGAGUGUUAAACGUACUACUAUUACCCAGUACAAUCUAUCUCGAAAAAUACCGUACCCACUUCAGGUCUAAAAAAAAAAAACUCCCAUUCACUUCAGGUCUUAAUCAUUACGAAAACACAACCAAUACCACCGGCGCCUAUAUGAUGACGACCUCAUCUUAAAAACCUCCGUGUAAUAACGCC